AGUAUCGCGAGAUCAGGAAGGUGGCCGAGUGUGUCGCCGCGGCCAUCAGGGGGGUUAUAGCCAUGUGACUGAUCUUCGUCCAAGAAUAUGUAAAGAAAAAGUGUUGAGUUGGCUUUUAGGGCUAGAGCAAUGUAUCUUAGGCUCACUUAAGGAAGCUGUAGAGAUGAGCCCAAGGAGGGAAACCAGAAGAGCCCCCCAGGCUCACCAGUUGUUUGUUGGCUCCCUACAAACAUGUCAUUCAAGUGGCUAAUCUUACAACAGCACAAAUUCAUCUAACCAGAAAGAGAAGAGGAGGCUCCAAAGGCACUUGACUACUGAGCAUCACCCUGGACGUGUACAAGUCUGCGUCCUUAUUGUUUUCUUCAUUGGGCCGAACUUUCUGGUCCUCAUCCAACAGCUCUUCUAUCACGUGUUCGAAAGUGUCAGCCAAUGAUGUCAAGCCUCUUGAACCUGCCUUGGGCCCAUUCACGCUCUCCAGAGUCCCAUGGGUCCGCACACCUGGAGAUACUCUAUUAUAGCAAAGAAGAAAGAUAAUUUCAUUGAGCCAUCCUGUUUUACAGGAAAUUCUGCAAGUGGCAACGUGGGUCCAUUCCGUGUGUGUCACUAGAGCUGGCGCAAGCCCAUGGCCAUGGUGAGGCAGCGUUUCCACUGGAACUAAUCUGAUACCUGCACCAGCUCUUGCAACUGUGCAGUGUUCCCACUGCAAACUACGGAUGGGGUAAAAGACUGCUCACCUCCUAUUUCUCAUCUAAUCUCACACACUCUGUUUGAUGAGGCUAUGGAGAAACAGGUCUUCUCAUACACUAAAGGUGGGAGUACAAACAAUUCAAGCCCUGUGCAGGACAAUUAGGCAAUACCUAUCAAAAUUAUACAUGAUUUUUCCUGCUGACCCAGCAAUUCCACUUCUGGGAAUAAUUGACAGAUAUAGGUGCAUAUGUACAAAAUGAUGGAAAGCUCUCUGGUAUAUAUUAGUAAGUGAUAAAACAAGGUGUAAAAUAGUGUAUAUAUGGCUACUACCUUUUGUUUUAAAAAUGGGGGAAAAUGGUGGAGCUUGCGGUGAGCCGAGAUCGUGCCACUGCACUCCAGCCUGGGCGACAGAGCGAGACUCCGUCUCAAAAAAAAAACAGGGUGGGGUGGGGGGGAAAUAAUAGUACAUACUCAUAUUUACCUGUAUCUAUAUAAAACACACUAUCAAGGAUUCACAAGAAACUAAUACAAAUGAUCACCUUAUAGAUGGUAUGUAUUGGGGGAUACUGAGGUGAGCAGGGUAUAAGUGGGGCAAGACUUUUCAGUGUAAACUUCUUUUAAAUUUUAUUUUGAUUUUUGAAUAAUGUAAAUUAACUGUCAAAUAAUUAAAUUAAAAAUAACCAAUUUAUUAACAAAA
rnacentral:lncRNA from 1 species